rnacentral:miRNA from 14 species
ACAUACUUCUUUAUAUGUCCAUA